rnacentral:rRNA from 1 species
GACAGAGGAUGCAAGCGUUAUCCGGAAUGAUUGGGCGUAAAGCGUCCGCAGGUGGCAGUUCAAGUCUGCUGUCAAAGACCGGGGCUUAACUUCGGAAAGGCAGUGGAAACUGAACAGCUAGAGUAUGGUAGGGGCAGAGGGAAUUCCUGGUGUAGCGGUGAAAUGCGUAGAGAUGGGGGAGAACACUCGUGGCGAAGGCGGCCAGCUAGACCAGUUCGUGACACUGAGGCGCGACAGCGUGGGGAGCAAACAGG